UGAUCCAGCCAUGCCGCGUGAGUGAAGAAGGCCUUCGGGUUGUAAAGCUCUUUCGGCCGGGAAGAAAUCGUGGUCUCUAACAUAGGCCAUGGAUGACGGUACCGGACUAAGAAGCACCGGCUAACUACGUGCCAGCAGCCGCGGUAAUACGUAGGGUGCGAGCGUUAAUCGGAAUUACUGGGCGUAAAGCGUGCGCAGGCGGUUUUGUAAGACAGAUGUGAAAUCCCCGGGCUUAACCUGGGAACUGCGUUUGUGACUGCAAGGCUAGAGUACGGCAGAGGGGGGUGGAAUUCCUGGUGUAGCAGUGAAAUGCGUAGAGAUCAGGAGGAACACCGAUGGCGAAGGCAGCCCCCUGGGCCUGUACUGACGCUCAUGCACGAAAGCGUGGGGAGCAAACAGGAUUAGAUACCCUGGUAGUCCACGCCCUAAACGAUGUCGACUAGUCGUUCGGAGCAGCAAUGCACUGAGUGACGCAGCUAACGCGUGAAGUCGACCGCCUGGGGA
rnacentral:rRNA from 1 species